AUUGAACGCUGGCGGCAGGCUUAACACAUGCAAGUCGAGCGGGGGAAGGUAGCUUGCUACCGGACCUAGCGGCGGACGGGUGAGUAAUGCUUAGGAAUCUGCCUAUUAGUGGGGGACAACAUCUCGAAAGGGAUGCUAAUACCGCAUACGUCCUACGGGAGAAAGCAGGGGAUCUUCGGACCUUGCGCUAAUAGAUGAGCCUAAGUCGGAUUAGCUAGUUGGUGGGGUAAAGGCCUACCAAGGCGACGAUCUGUAGCGGGUCUGAGAGGAUGAUCCGCCACACUGGGACUGAGACACGGCCCAGACUCCUACGGGAGGCAGCAGUGGGGAAUAUUGGACAAUGGGGGGAACCCUGAUCCAGCCAUGCCGCGUGUGUGAAGAAGGCCUUAUGGUUGUAAAGCACUUUAAGCGAGGAGGAGGCUACUUUAGUUAAUACCUAGAGAUAGUGGACGUUACUCGCAGAAUAAGCACCGGCUAACUCUGUGCCAGCAGCCGCGGUAAUACAGAGGGUGCGAGCGUUAAUCGGAUUUACUGGGCGUAAAGCGUGCGUAGGCGGCUUAUUAAGUCGGAUGUGAAAUCCCCGAGCUUAACUUGGGAAUUGCAUUCGAUACUGGUGAGCUAGAGUAUGGGAGAGGAUGGUAGAAUUCCAGGUGUAGCGGUGAAAUGCGUAGAGAUCUGGAGGAAUACCGAUGGCGAAAGCAGCCAUCUGGCCUAAUACUGACGCUGAGGUACGAAAGCAUGGGGAGCAAACAGGAUUAGAUACCCUGGUAGUCCAUGCCGUAAACGAUGUCUACUAGCCGUUGGGGCCUUUGAGGCUUUAGUGGCGCAGCUAACGCGAUAAGUAGACCG
rnacentral:rRNA from 1 species